rnacentral:tRNA from 3 species
GGUAGACGCUACGGACUUAAAAUCCGUUGACCGUAARAGGUCGUGUGGGUUC